rnacentral:rRNA from 1 species
UCGAGAAUUUUUCACAAUGGGCGCAAGUCUGAUGGAGCGACGCCGCGUGGGGGAUGAAUGGCUUCGGCCCGUAAACCCCUGUCAUUUGCGAUCAAACCUUACGGCCCAAUACGUCGUAAGUUGAUGGUAGCGAAAGAGGAAGGGACGGCUAACUCUGUGCCAGCAGCCGCGGUAAUACAGAGGUCCCAAGCGUUGUUCGGAUUCACUGGGCGUAAAGGGUGCGUAGGCGGUCGGGUAAGUCUGACGUGAAAUCUCCAAGCUCAACUUGGAAAUGGCGUCGGAUACUAUCCGGCUCGAGGAAUGGAGGGGAGACUGGAAUACUUGGUGUAGCAGUGAAAUGCGUAGAUAUCAAGUGGAACACCAGUGGCGAAGGCGAGUCUCUGGACAUUUCCUGACGCUGAGGCACGAAAGCCAGGGGAGCAAACGGGGAUUAGAUACCCCGGUAGUCCUGGCCCUAAACGGUGCACGUUUGCUGUAAGAGGAUUCGACCCCUUUUGUGG